GGGGGUAUAGCUCAGUGGUAGAGUGUGUGUUAGCAUUACGCACGCAUGAGGUCCUGGAUUCAAUUCCCAGUACCUCCA
rfam:Camelus ferus unplaced genomic scaffold scaffold79518, whole genome shotgun sequence.